UCAAACAAUCAUAUUUAUUUUGACAGAAUGUAGGUUUGGAAUUUAAAAUCCAUUUAAGCUUCUAUGCAAAGAAAGAGAGGUAAAAGCAAGCAAGCAAGCAAGCAAACAAGAAACAAAUAACUUUGGCUUAUAUAGAGGGUGGAGUUGGGGGGCGCUUGAAUGGAACUGAGCAUUUACUGGCCAGAUGCCUUCGUGAUGCCUAUGCGGAGUU